rnacentral:rRNA from 1 species
AUGCAGGCAUUCCUCGAGGUAGCUGAAACAAUAAAGAAAGAAGACGUGUUACUAAAGGUGUGGGCAAAACAAGUAAGGGAUCUGUCAUACAAUAUUGAAGAUUGCCUCAGUGAGUUCAUGGUGCAUGUGGGAAGCCAAAGCUUCUUACGUCGGCUCAUGAAGCUCAAAGAUCGCCAUCGGAUAGCCAUACAGAUUCGCAAUCUCAAAAUAAGAGUUGAAGAAGUAAGCAUCAGGAACACAUGCUACAACUUGAUAAGAACGGAUGUGUCCGGCGACAUUGAUGAAGUAAAUUCCCACAUGGAAGAUCUUCGCAAUCACUCGGCUAGCAACAUGAAUGAAGCAGAGCUUGUUGGCUUUUCCAAGCCUAAGGGGGAGAUGAUUAAGUUGAUGGAUGUCAACAUUAAAGAUGGUGUUGCCAAGGUGGUAUUUGUUGUUGGCAUGGGUGGUUUAGGAAAGACUACUCUUGCAAGAAAGACAUAUGAAAGCAAGGAAGCUAUUUUAAAUAAUUUUUCUUAUCGUGCUUGGAUCACAGUGUCACAAACAUUUUCCAAGAUAGAGAUGCUCAAGGAUAUGAUCAUGCAACUUUUCGGAGAUGAAGAAUUGAAGCGACGUUUGAAGGAACUUAAGGGGAAGAUAGUGCAAGUAGAUGAUCUGGCCAGCUACCUCAAGGUAAACCUACAGGAUAAGAUAUACUUUAUUGUUCUUAAUGACUUGUGGUCCAUAGAUGCGUGGAGGUUAAUAAAAGAUAUUGCGAUUCACAGUAGUAACAUCAAAGGUAGUCGGAUAAUAGUAACAACACGCGACAUUGGCCUAGCUCACCAGUGUACUUCUGAGUCGCUUAUUUACCACAUUAAGCCCCUACAAAUAGAAGAAGCCACGAAUCUGCUACUCAGAAAGACUGGGAAGACACGCAAAGACAUAGAAAAUGAUGAGGACAUGAGGACCUUGGUUUCUAAAAUAGUUAAAAAGUGUCGUUGUUUACCGCUGGCUAUACUUGCCAUAGGAGGCAUGCUUGCUACCAAAGCAGUCGAAAUGUGGGGAAGCAUAUAUAAGGAAAUCCCAUUGGAGCUUGAGAGUAACCCAAGCCUUGAAGCAAUGAGGAGGAUAGUUACUCUAAGUUACAGCCACUUGUCAUCUCAUCUUAAAUCAUGCUUUUUGUACUUAAGCAUCUUCCCGGAGGAUUUUGAAAUCAAGAGAAGUCGUUUGGUCGACAGAUGGAUAGCAGAGGGGUUUGUUACAGCUGGUCGUGGAGUGAAUGUUGUGGAUGUUGGAAUACGUUAUUUCACUGAGCUAAUGAAUCGAAAUAUGAUUCAACCAUCAAAAGUGAACAUAGAAGGAAUUGUUAAGAGCUGCCGGGUCCAUGAUAUCAUGCGUGAUGUAAUGGUCUCGAUUUCUGGAGAUGAAAACUUUGUGCACCUAGUACGAGAUAAUGAAGCCGGUACAAUAGAGGCGAAUUACCGACAUGUAGCAUACCAUGGUAGCACGUGCCAAAAAUAUUGGCAUGGAUUGGAGCCAUGUUCGGUCAUUAACAAUGUUUGGUGA